CCCACCCUAUGUGGGGUGCGCCAGGGUGACCCGUUCUCCCCGUUCCUCUUUAACAUGGUUGUUGAUGCCCUCGCGGUCAUCCUUGAUAAGGCCAAAGCGAGCGGCCAUAUCCUGGGCGUUGUCCCCCUCCUUGUGGACGGAGGAGGGGUUUCCCUCCUCCAAUAUGCAGACGACACCAUAGUCAUGGUGGAGGGCUCCGCGUCCGACAUCGCCAACCUGAAGUUCCUCCUCCUGUGCUUCCAACAGAUGUCGGGGCUCACCAUCAACUUCGACAAGAGCGAAGUGAUGGUCCUUGGCUACACCCCCGACGAAGCUUUGUCCAUUGCGGACCGGCUGAACUGCCGCCUAGGCUCCUUCCCCACGACUUACUCGGGGGUGCCCAUUAGUGACUCCAGGCUCACCAUCGUGGAUCUCCGCACGACGGUGACUAGGAUGCAGCACAGGGUUGAACCCUGGAGGGGGCGCUGGCUGUCGAAAGCUGCCAGGGUGAUCCUAAUCAAUUCCUUGCUUGCUAGCCUUCUCUGGUUUCUCAUGAGCUUCUACGCCCUCAUGAGACCCUUCAUCAGGAGGUGGCCAAAUACCAGUCGGGGUUCUUUUGGGCUGGUGAGGGCGGCAAGCAGAAGUACCACAUGGUGA
rnacentral:rRNA from 1 species